CCUACGGUGGGGCAGCAGUGGGGAAUAUUGGACAAUGGGCGAAAGCCUGAUCCAGCCAUGCCGCGUGUGUGAAGAAGGCCUUCGGGUUGUAAAGCACUUUCAGUGGGGAAGAAAGCCUUGGGGCUAAUACCCUCGAGGAAGGACAUCACCCACAGAAGAAGCACCGGCUAACUCCGUGCCAGCAGCCGCGGUAAUACGGAGGGUGCGAGCGUUAAUCGGAAUUACUGGGCGUAAAGCGCGCGUAGGCGGUCUGAUAAGCCGGUUGUGAAAGCCCCGGGCUCAACCUGGGAACGGCAUCCGGAACUGUCAGGCUAGAGUGCAGGAGAGGAAGGUAGAAUUCCCGGUGUAGCGGUGAAAUGCGUAGAGAUCGGGAGGAAUACCAGUGGCGAAGGCGGCCUUCUGGACUGACACUGACGCUGAGGUGCGAAAGCGUGGGUAGCAAACAGGAUUAGAUACCCCAGUAGUC
rnacentral:rRNA from 1 species